GGGUGUAUGGUCUAGUGGUAUGAUUCCCGCUUCGGGUUUUACCGGCGUCGAUGGCGCUUUGACUGCGGGAGGCCCUGGGUUCGAAUCCCAGUUCACCCC